rnacentral:lncRNA from 1 species
AUGUUUAGGUUAAACAAGAAUUUUUUGCUUUCUUCAAGAUUUCAGUUACCAAAACUUGCAAACAUGAUACUAGAUUAUUUUCUUUUUCUGUCUUGGUCUAGAUACACAUGGAGUUCUCUUUUUGGAAGCUACACGUCAGUAUCACAUUCUUUUUGUGAUGCAGAAAAAUGUUCCAUGUGGCAACUUCAAAGACAACCUGCUGAGAAACCAAGAGAAUGCUUAAUAAUGCUCAUGAGCAGUGAGGCACGAAUGAGCAAAUGAAGGUCUUCCCAGUUAGCUAUUGAUUCUUCUAUCAAGGCAAGUAACUUCCAAACCACACGCAAUCUUUUGAACAUUACCUUCAUCUCCUAAUAUUUCUCCCUACCACCCAAAGAAAAUUACUUUUCUUGACCUUCCAUAACAAGCAAGUGGGUUUUGUAUUAUUUAUUGAUCUUAUGGUAUAAUAUUCUUAGAAGGGUAAAUGAGACUCAUCAAGUUCAAAUGAGUUAUAAUUGUCGGAAUCUUAAAGAUAACUCUUAAAUCCUCCUAUAUUUCAUGCAGAAAAAAAAUUUCCGGUUCUCAUAGAAAGGCUUUCCAGAACCUUCGGGACUUAAAAGUUUAAAUUGAAAAUGAGAUUUUAUUUUAGACUCUUUAACAUCAUAUGGGGGAGCAUGCCAUUUGGCAAAUAUCCCUUAACAUGCAGAAAACUAAUGAAUUGUAAUGUGGUUUCACCUUAGCCUUACCAGUCCUUGUAGUUAUCUCUUUUUUUCUGAAUGACAAAACAAUUCUAAAAAUUAGCUUUGGAGCAAAAGAGGAAAACAUACCAUGCUCAAUAAACAUCAUUUAGAUAUGGAACA